UAUUUGCUGCUGAAAAGGGUGAAUCGUGUGUAACUCACGAACUGUCGCGCAACCGUUAUCCGCAGAGCGGAAAGUCGGAUCCCCAAAAACUUUCGCGAUUUGAAGUAGAAAUUCAAUUUCUAUUCAUUUCAAAUGUUAAA
rnacentral:ncRNA from 21 species